rnacentral:rRNA from 1 species
UACGGGGGGAGCAAGCGUUGUUCGGAUUCAUUGGGCGUAAAGGGGUGCGUAGGCGGGCGCGGUAAGUCGGGGUGUGAAAUCUCGGAGCUUUAAACUCCGAAACUGCAUUCGAUACUGCCGUGCUUGAGGACUGGAGAGGAGACUGGAAUUUACGGUGUAAGCGGUGAAAUGCGUAGAUAUCGGGAGGAACACCAGUGGCGAAGGCGACUACCUGGCCUGUUUCUUGACGCUGAGGCGCGAAAGGCUAGGGGGAGCAAACGGG